rnacentral:rRNA from 3 species
UGGUAAUGAUGGCAGAGAGGUCACACCCGUUCCCAUACCGAACACGGAAGUUAAGUUCUCUAGCGCCGAUGGUAGUUGGGACCUUGUCCCUGUGAGAGUAGGACGUUGCCAGGCA